GCCCCGAACAUGGCAAUGUAUCAUUCAUGCACGCUGAGCAAAGAACACAUCGUUUUGCUUCUAAGAGAACAGGCCGCCGCAGUUCAAAGGAACGCGUAGCGAGCGCUCUACUUUUUCACUCGGAGUGGCUCCACCGCGCGCGCGCGCGCUCAAGAUCGCGGAACAACACAGCACCGGAGAGCAAAGGCUAGCCGAGCGAGCAAAGGCCAGCCGAGGGAGAUCGUGUGUCUGCCAUCUCGCGUCGCCACGAAAACACGACAGUCGUUCGUCAUGCCUUGGAUAUAACAACAAAUCCUCCACGGCACCCGCUUUAUAUAACGCAAGAAGGCAGCUGCAAGGACACGAGGAUGUGAAAGAGCCAGUGCAGCGCGACUUCACGUAGUGCAGAGGAGCCAAUGCCAAAAAAUCAAAAUACAUUGGCAUGUUAUUUGGACAAGAAAACUAGGACAACCCAGGACGUGCAUUUCUCAGCACCCAGUCAACUGCCAAAAGUGACUCAAACACAGGCCACCAGUGGAACUCGGCUGUACCACUGCAGUGCUGCGGAAAUUGCCUUCACCAGCGGCUUUGCAACAGCUGUUUCGCAGCAUGUCGGAGACAAUGCCUACGAAAUUAUUGGCCCUGAUCAUGAGAGCCCUCAAGGGGCAAACAACAUCUCUGUUGCAGAAGUGAGCCCGAUACCACUUGGAAGUUACCAUGACAGAUGACACGGCAGCAAUAGAUAGAGACUGCCAUGUCUACUGCAGCUGCAACAGUGCACGAGGCAAGCAGCAGCGCGUCAGCAUCAGCAGCAGUGUCAGAAGGAACCACACCAGGCCUGGUAGAGCAACAUGUGUGCUAUCACUGACUUUUUUUGUCGUGGAUACAACUCAUUUGCUCAACAUACAAAAGCUUUUCACCACGACUGUGAGCCAGUGUUAUUGUGCAGCAAGUGCAAGACUAAGUUAGGUGUUAUAACACAGUACAAGCAUCACUUUAAUAUAUGCAAAUGCAAACAUAUUACAGUUGUUGCCUCCCCAGCCAGCCCACAUAGUGACAACAAUGUGGAACACAUGGUGGGACACACCUCUCCCCCAUUACAAGAUAGUAGAGACUGUCAGUGUUGUUGCUAGAUUGACUGGUCUAUGUAGGUAACUAGAAGGACAACACAGGUGUCAUAAGAUUGUUGUUGAUGUUGUUGUUGAAGACGUAAAAAAGAAGUUUGAUGCAGCUGAAGUGCCAACUGAUAUUGAGCAAAUCAAAAGCAGCCACAUGAGAAAGCAACACUAUUGAAAUUUGGGCAUCUAUGUGCCGCCAACUCUGGUAAGAAUGGCAUAGGACAGAAGUGUGAUGAAAAUCACACACACACUGCUGUUGCAUCACUGGCCACAGUGAGCAGCGACUUGUAGGGCAAGAGAGUCAACUGAAACUAACAUUAUGAUAUAGUGUCAUGCUCCCAUGUGACCACUUUUCAAGUUAUUUUGCAAGAUACAGCUCAACCUCCAGAAACGAGACUGCAACUUGUCUGUAAAAAAGCUUUCACAAAAAAUUAGUCAUAGCACUAUGAACAUAGCAGUAUCUUUUUUUUUGUGUCGGUUCGAGGUUCCCGGCUGUCCAUUAAUGCAAAAAUUGAGGAAAAAAAACAUGUGUCGUACUUACACCUUUUUAACAAGUACGAGGGGGACAGAACUUUUCUAGUCAUGCAUCUUCAUCAUACUAUCAAGUUUUUAAAUGCCUUUUAUAAUUAUUAUUACCAGUUAUAUCUGAGUGCAUUGUAUGCAUGUAGCAGGUGUAAAAUCAGGUCAGUUGGAUCAGAUGCCUUAUCUGCAAGCGAGUCCUAUAUUCUAGAAAUUAGAAAUAAAAUAGUUACGUUAGAGACGCAGUCUUUCAGCACUUUAUUGCCUGUGGUUUAAGCAUUGCUCAAUACUUUUGUGGGUGGCAAUUUCAACCGGCACAGCACUGCGCUUUGCCACAGUCACAUUUGUCUUCAAAGCGGUGUUUACCAUUUGUGUUGAUCUGUUUGUGUAUGCAUAGAGCAAGUUUUUAAUUUAUAUUUUUCUGCAUUCUUGUGCUUGCACUAAGCUUGUAUAAGGCAGUUACAAAAUGUGCGUCACUAUAACGAACUGUUCUGUUGAGCUUACACUUGCAAAUAAUCGUGUUCAGAUGGCCGCACUUCUAUGCGGGUGCUCCGCUAGCUUUGUGUAUGUUCUCAUGUUUGUAUAAAGCUUAUAUAAGCUAGUUAGAAAAUGUAUGUCACUAAGCAUUGUGAUAUUCUUUAAAGAACUGCUUGGUUGGUUUUACACUUGUGAAUUAGUAUUGAGGCGGUGGUAUUCCCAUGUAUGCCCACUGCUAGCUUACUGUGUCCUCACGUGUUUGUAUUAAGUUUCUACAAGGGAGUUACAGCAUGUACGUCACUAAGCGCUGUGAUAUUUUUUAAAGAACUGCUUUGUUGGUUUUACACCUGUGAGUAAUAGUACUCGGGUGGCACUAGUCAUGUGUAGGUACACAGGGACCAUUUGUAUACAUUAUGCUCAUGUAAAGCAGUUACAAAGUGUAUGUCACUAAUUACUGUGAUAUUUGUUGAAUUGCUGUGAUGGUUUUACACAUGUGAAUAAUAGUGGUCAGGACACAGUACUUGCGGUGUAUAGUUGAAUUUAUACACUGCCAAGACAUGGGCUGUAUACGUACCAAAAGAAAUGUAUGUCAUUAUAUUGUUGUGAUUAUUACUGUUUGGAUUUUAUUAAACUGUAAUAAAAUUGUUUCUUGUA